CGGAUGUAGCCAAUUUCAUCAAGGCAGUGG
rnacentral:tRNA from 1 species